UACGUAGGGAGCGAGCGUUGUCCGGAAUUACUGGGUGUAAAGGGAGUGUAGGCGGGUAAUCAAGUCCGUUGUGAAAUCUAUCGGCUCAACCGAUAGCUGCGGCGGAAACUGGAUAUCUUGAGUGAAGUAGAGGCAGGCGGAAUUCCUAGUGUAGCGGUGAAAUGCGUAGAUAUUAGGAGGAACACCAGUGGCGAAGGCGGCCUGCUGGGCUUUAACUGACGCUGAGGCUCGAAAGUGUGGGGAGCAAACAG
rnacentral:rRNA from 1 species